CUAGUAUUCUAAACUAAACUACUC
rnacentral:tRNA from 4 species